CAUUUCCUUCCCUUAAUCGAUCUGGUGUUCUCUCUCCCACCUUUUGUUUCCCCUUAUAAGUUCAGUCCAAUGAACACCAUCAGUUGACCACAAUGUUAUUUUGUUUCCCUUGGGUUCAUUCCAGGUUUGCUAUUUCAAUCUCACAGUAGCGCCAAACACACAAGUUCGCCGCGUCUGUCCUGGUGGCCUUCAUCUCUUUCAGUUCUUCGUUGACAUGCGUCGUGUCAAAUUGGAGAACUUGGUUAUUUUGUUUCCAGUGCAUUUGUGAACUAAAUUGUAUUUUACUUCUUGACUCUUGAGCCUGUAGUUAAAUGGAAUCGAUUUAUUUUGGUCUCAAACCAUGCAUAGAUAUUUAUUCCAUAAACUUAUAUUUUUGUUGAGGGUCUUUGAAGUUUGAACUUAUUUCGGCUGCCUUCAAUACUGAUAUGAUUUUACUUCUAGAUCUUCGAAAAUGCUACAGUGCAUGGAGACAUUGUUCUUGCUGUCCCUGUCGAAGUCACUGUAAAAGAGACAAGCAUUCCAUAUGUCUGGUGAUGUCCAGACGUUCCCCUGAUGCUUUAUGUAUUCAUAAUAUCCCAGUUAUGGUUUAUAUACCUCCUUCUGGUAUUGCUAGGAGCCAGAAAUGGCAGGUGUAUAUUACUGAUGCGAGCAUGUUGUUGUUACCCUCUUGAGGUAACAGGCUGAUCUAUUUGGUGCUGAUGGAUUCAUGGAGACAUCACGAAG